AAAAUCUGGGCUUUCCUUGAUGUUAGUUUUGUGGAGCGGAUCCUGAAGAGUCAGAAAGAACGGCAGUGUGCCCUGCGUGUAUUCAAGGGGAUGAUCCAGGGAAAAGAAUGAAUCAAGCCAUUGCUGUGGUAUUUGGACCAGUGGCCACUUGCCAUUGACUUGGUUUUACAAGGCCUCAGAAUCGGUUCGGAUGCAGGAACUGUGUUUGACGUUUAUGUCGAAGUUCUCAUCAAAGCCUGGAAAAUGUGGAGCCUCUUUUGCAAGAGUGGAGAUUGUUGCCUUUAAGCCAGAUCUUAAACACUGUUAGCUCAUUGUGAAAAACACAAGUGCCAGUGAUUAACAAAGAAUGUUUACUUAAUUUACUUCAGAUCUGGUCUCAGUUAAAGGUUAGCUCAUCCUUAUCAGGUGGUCACAGAAACUAGAUCCCAGUAGCAGAGUGACCUUUGGAAGCUAGAAUUGUAGUCAAUGGACUUAAAGUGAGAUCGUGGGAGCCAGUUCUUCACUUAAUUAAGCAGAGUUGAAAGACUUUCUUCUUUCCAGCUCCCUAUUUUCCUUCCUUGGGCUAUUUUCUGUAAGUCAGACUUGGUUUGCCUCAAUACUACAUAUGCCCUGUAAAAAUAAAUUAACUACAAGAGACUGUUGACUGUAUGGCCACCAGCCCUGCCCUGGUGUGUGUCCUUUGCAACACUAGUGUCUGAGGUGGAGCCCUCCAUUCCUCGUGUUUUUCAUCCACUCCCCCUUUCCUUCCUCUCCCCCGCCAGUAGAGGACUGUUUGCGCAAGAGACCAAUGGAUUAGCCAGCAGGUCUAAGCAGCUGCAAGGAUAGGUCUCUCUUUUGCCCGGGGGAGAGAGAUACCAGCUUGACUCGUGAUCAGGUACUUUAUUCCUUAUGAUAGGGAGCUCAGAAUCCAGCAUCAGUGUUCCUAUUAAUUUCUUGUUAGUUUUGUAGCUUUGGGUAUCUGCACUUGUCAACAGUAGGCUGUAAGAAUAUUUAUUGGAAACCACAAAAAUCUCACUAGCCUCCUCUAUCCCGGAGCCUGGGAUGGCAAAGUGCUACACCAGAAAAGGGCUAUGUGGAUCACAAGGACAGUGUAGGCCUCAUGACUCUGAGAUAACAGAACAGAGGCACAGAGAGGCUAAGCAACUUACCCUAGGUCACACAGUAAGAGGAAGAGUGAGCCAGGAUUUGAACCUUGGUGUGUCUGACAUAAAGGCCAGCAUCCCAUCUAUAAAAUGGAGCUAGUAAUCAUACCAGCCUCUUCAGGUUUU
rnacentral:lncRNA from 1 species